rnacentral:rRNA from 1 species
AGCGAAAGCAUUAAGUGAUCCACCUGGGGAGUACGUCGGCAACGAUGAAACUCAAAGGAAUUGACGGGGGCCCGCACAAGCGGUGGAACAUGUGGUUUAAUUCGAUGAUACGCGAGGAACCUUACCUGGGCUUAAAUGUAGCCGGACGAUUCCGGAAACGGGAUUUCCUUAACGGCUGGUUACAAGGUGCUGCAUGGCUGUCGUCAGCUCGUGCCGUGAGGUGUCGGGUUAAGUCCCAUAACGAGCGCAACCCUUAUUCUUAGUUGCCAGCGGGUAGAGCCGGGGACUCUAAGGAGACUGCCACCGUAAGGUGUGAGGAAGGUGGGGAUGACGUCAAGUCAGCACGGCCCUUACGUCCAGGGCUACACACGUGUUACAAUGGCCGGUACAGAAGGCAGCANACUUGAGAGAGGGCGCGAAUCCAUGAAAGCCGGUCUCAGUUCGGAUUGGAGUCUGCAACCCGACUUCAUGAAGUUGGAAUCGCUAGUAAUCGCGCAUCAGCAAUGGCGCGGUGUUACGUUCCCGGGCCUUGUACACACCGCCCGUCAAGCCAUGGAAGCCGGGGGUAC